rfam:Stegodyphus mimosarum contig60440, whole genome shotgun sequence.
GCCAUCGUGGUGUAAUGGCCAGCACACUUGGCAGGUAUUCGAGAGGUCCGAGGUUCGAGUCCCGGCGAGGGUU